rnacentral:rRNA from 1 species
GACGAACGCUGGCGGCGUGCCUAAUACAUGCAAGUCGAACGAGUGGCGGACGGGUGAGUAAUGUCUGGGACACUGCCUGCUGGUGGGGGAUAACCACCGGAAACGGUAGCUAAUAACGCCUACCCUCGGAUGUGCCCAGAUGGGAUUAGCUAGUUGGUGGGGUAAAGGCUCACCGAGGCGACGAUCCCUAGCUGGUCUGAGAGGAUGCACAGGCACACGAGAACGGAGACACGGUCCAGACGCCUACGGUAGGAAGCAGUGGGGAAUAGUGCACAAUGGGCGCAAGCCUGAUGCAGCCAUGCCGCGUGUAUGAAGAAGGCCGGCGGGUUGUAAAGUACUGUCAGCGGGGAGGCGUUACCCGCAGAAGAAGCACCGGCUAACUCCGUGCCAGCAGCCGCGGUAAUAC